rnacentral:rRNA from 1 species
UGCAAGUCGAACGGCAGCAUGAGAGCUUGCUCUUCUGAUGGCGAGUGGCGAACGGGUGAGUAAAGCAUCGGAACGUGCCCAGUCGUGGGGGAUAACGUAGCGAAAGUUACGCUAAUACCGCAUACGAUCUACGGAUGAAAGCGGGGGACUCGCAAGGGCCUCGCGCGAUUGGAGCGGCCGAUAUCAGAUUAGGUAGUUGGUGGGGUAAAGGCUCACCAAGCCAACGAUCUGUAGCUGGUCUGAGAGGACGACCAGCCACACUGGAACUGAGACACGGUCCAGACUCCUACGGGAGGCAGCAGUGGGGAAUUUUGGACAAUGGACGCAAGUCUGAUCCAGCCAUUCCGCGUGCAGGAUGAAGGCCCUCGGGUUGUAAACUGCUUUUGUACGGAACGAAAAGGUUUCCAUUAAUACUGGGAGCUCAUGACGGUACCGUAAGAAUAAGCACCGGCUAACUACGUG